rnacentral:rRNA from 1 species
UACGUAGGGUCCGAGCGUUGUCCGGAAUUACUGGGCGUAAAGAGCUCGUGGGUGGUUUGUCGCGUUGUUCGUGAAAACUCACAGCUCAACUGUGGGCGUGCGGGCGAUACGGGCAGACUUGAGUACUGCAGGGGAGACUGGAAUUCCUGGUGUAGCGGUGGAAUGCGCAGAUAUCAGGAGGAACACCGGUGGCGAAGGCGGGUCUCUGGGCAGUAACUGACGCUGAGGAGCGAAAGCAUGGGGAGCGAACAGG